rnacentral:tRNA from 1 species
GUGGGUAUAGCUCAGUGGCAUAGAAUAUGCUUAGCAUGCAUGAGGUCCUGGGUUCAAUCCCCAGUACCUCCA